rnacentral:rRNA from 1 species
AUUGAACGCUGGCGGCAGGCCUAACACAUGCAAGUCGAACGAGUGGCGGACGGGUGAGUAAUGUAUGGGAAACUGACUGAUGGAGGGGGAUAACUAGGGGAAAAGGUAGCUAAUACCGCAAACCAACAGAUGUGCCCAGAUGGGAGUGGGUUGUUGGUGGGGUAACGGCUCACCAAGGCGACGAUCACUAGCUGGUCUGAGAGGAUGCACAGCCACACUGGAACUUAGACACGGUCCCGACUCCUACGGGAGGCAGCAGUAGGGAAUAUUGCACAAGGGACGCAAGUCUGAUGCAGCCAUGCCGCGUGUAUGAAGAAGGUCUUCGGGUCGUAAAGUACUGUCAUCGGGGAGGCGGUACCCACAGAGGAAGCACCGGCUAACUCCGUGCCAGCCGCCGCGGUAAUUC